CUCCAAGGUCUCUUCUACCUGUAAGAUCCUACAGUUCAGAGCUCCUGGCCACAGAGGGAGGGGCAAGCGGCCACAGGGGCCAAAGUCCCUAGCUGAGUCCUCGCUAGUGGGCAAGGGGUGAGAAGAAGGGCUCUGCUGCCCCCUGCUGGUUUUUUUUUCUCUGGCUGGUACAACCUUCUCAGAAAUGUUCAUCACUGUUCUCUGUGGAGAUGAGGAAGCCAAGGGUGAAGAAUAAUGAUCCACAGCACCAUAAAGUGGCCGUGUUCAUACUUAGACCCACGUCUGGGACAAGACCCACCUUCUUAACCACCAGGUGCAGUGGUGCCCAGCCAUGGUUUCAUUGAACAGCCCACAUGAGACAGAAGCACCCCUGCCUGGAGAAGCUACCCCGCCAUGCCCACCGCACCCAAACCAACAACACAGAAGGAAAGGAUCUCAGAAACACAGGGGAAGAGUCCAGGAGGAAUCUGGAAACCCUUUGUGGACAAGUUGACACUGAAGCCGGGCCUUAAAGUUGGGAUUCUGCAGUCAGAGAUGGUGGAAGGAGACAGAAUUUUCCAGGCAGAGGGAUGGCGUGAGCCAGGGCCUAGAGGCUGGGAAGGGAGCACAUUUGGGGAAUCAUGGUUUGGUGCAGGGUGCCAGCCCUGAACAGAUGCACUGGGACACACAGAGGUGUCCUGAGCAGGGCGAGACCUGCGUCCAAGGAGCUGGUUUGAGAAUGGGUUUGGCUACUUACUGGGAGAGCUUGGGUGAGUUAUUUAACAUCUGGCCUUCCGAGUCCUCAGAUGCGAAAUGGGCAACACAACACUCAUGCUCACGUGGUCAUUCCACAGCCUGAAUGCUUAGGCAUGCUUAAGAAGCACUGUGUAAACUGGGGAGCAUGAUGCAAACACUAGCAGUCUCUCCUGUGGGCCCUCCUGGAGUCCGAGGAAGGCAGGCCCGGUGGCCUUCUGGACGGGUGUCCGCCGCAACAUCGGGGAGAGGAGUGAAUCUCUGGGCCUCAUGCAGGCUGUGGGCAUUUCCUGCUGCUGCUGGGACCUCUCAUUCACUGCUGUCUCCCCAAACUCUGGGGCUGGCCCACAAGGCAGAGCCGUGGGAGCACACCAUGUGAACUCUGGACUUCCAGGCGGGUGUAGACGUCUACUGAGACCAGUACACACUUACGUAGAAGACAGCACAACACUGGAGAAACUCGGGUCAAGUGCUCUCCAGACAAAUGGAUUUCAAAUUUGGUUUCUCCUCAUCCUUGGAACAUAUUUAUUAAAAAAAAAACGUUUUGGGGCCGGCCCUGUGGCUGAGUGGUUAAGUUCGCACGCUCUGCUGCGGCGGCCCAGGAUUUCUAUGGUUCAGAUCCUGGGAGUGGACAUGGCACCGCUCAUCAGGCCAUGCUGAGGCAACGUCCCACAUGCCACAACUAGAAGGACCCACAACUAAAACAUACAACUACAUCCUGCGGGGUUUAGGGGAGAAAAAGCAAAAAAAAAAGAAGGAGAUUGGCAACAGUUGUUAGCUCAGGUGCCAAUAAAAAAAAAGUUUCUAGCAAAAAAUAUUACUCAGGAG
rnacentral:lncRNA from 1 species